UGCCAGCCGCCGCGGUAAUACAGAGGGUGCAAACGUUGUUCGGAAUUACUGGGCGUAAAGCGCGUGUAGGCGGCAGUGUAAGUCGGGUGUGAAAGCCCACGGCUCAACCGUGGAAGUGCACUCGAAACUGCAUAGCUAGAGUCCUGGAGAGGAAGGCGGAAUACUUGGUGUAGAGGUGAAAUUCGUAGAUAUCAAGUGGAACACCGGUGGCGAAGGCGGCCUUCUGGACAGUGACUGACGCUGAGACGCGAAAGCGUGGGGAGCAAACAGGAUUAGAUA
rnacentral:rRNA from 1 species